rnacentral:rRNA from 1 species
GACGAACGCUGGCGGCGUGCUUAACACAUGCAAGUCGAACGGAAAGGCCCUGCUUUUGUUGGGUGCUCUAGUGGCGAACGGGUGCGUAACACGUGAGUAACUUGCCCUUGACUUUGGGAUAACGUCAGGAAACUGGGGCAAAUACCGGAUUGGAGCUCCUUCUGCAUGGUGGGGGUUGGAAAGUUUCUGCGGUUUGGGAUGGGCUCGCGGCGUAUCAGCUUGUUUGUGGAGUAGUGGCGUACCAAGGCUUUGACGGGUAGCCGGCCUGAGAGGGUGACCGGCCAAAUUGGGACUGAGAUACGGCACAGACUCCUACGGGAGGCAGCUGUAGGGACUAGAGCACGAUGGGCGGAAGCCUGAUGCAGCAACGCCGCGUUCUGGAUGACAGCCUUCGGUUAUUAAACCGCUUUCGCCUGUGACGAAGCCUGAUUGAAGGUAAUGGAUAAAGAAGCACCGGCUAACUACGUG